rnacentral:sRNA from 1 species
UAACAAAUAUGUUAUAAAAUUAAAAAAAUUGGACGAAUUGCACCCGUUAAUUAGCAAAAUAUUUGCGGAAAAAAAAUAAACGGAGGAAAUCCCUUCCCCCAAUAAUAUUGCAAAAAACGAUCCAAAUAACGGUAAAAUGCCCCAAAUUAAAACUAAUGCCAAAAUAUUUUACGGGGAAAUCGCAUAUAGAUAUUUAAACGGCGGAUAAAAAUAUAACCGUUAAAAAAUUUUAAAUAUAAUUAUAAACGGUUCCGCCGGAAAAUUUAAUCGUUUAUUUAAACGGAUUUAUAUUAAAUAAUAAAAAAAACGAAUUUGGUAUAAAUAUAUAUUUAACCAAUAUUUAAAAAAGAAACGAUAACGAUAAAAAAGUAUUUCAAAAUAUAAACCGCAAUAAAAAAAUAAUACCGCAAAUUAUUAUAUAAUUUGCGGCGAAAAUCCUAUUUUGGCAAUAAAUUUUCGAAUCCAAAUUUAAAAAAAUCGGUUUCGGGUACGUUAUUUACAAAAAAAAUGAAAAUCGAUAACGGUUACGAAAAAAUAAUUAAAACAGAACUUUUCGACGCGGAAAUAUGGGAAAUAUUUGCAAUGUUAAAAAUAAUAAUGGAAUUUACCAACGGUAAAAUCCACGUAUAUUUGGAUAAUAAAACCGCAAUAGUAUAUUUAUUAGGGAUAAUAUUAAAUAUAUUACAAAUAUAAUUUUUAAAAUACCAGGCGUUAAUAAAAAAAAAUAAUAAUAUGUUGGGUAUUAGGAUAUUAUAACGUUCCAAAUAACGAAAAAAUUAAUAAAUUAGCCAAAAAAGGAAUAAAAUAUGGAAUAUUUGCGAAUUACGAAUUAAUAACCGCAUAUUUUAAAAAGGUGGAUAAAGCCAAAUACCGCAAAAUUUUCCGACAAUAAUAAAUAAAAAUCGUUAAAAAUAAGAAAUUUAUAUAAUAUAAUAAUUAUAUUUUAUACGCACGAAUUACGUUAACGGACAAAUUUCGAAUAUUAAAUAAAAGAAAAUUGCAUUAUUUAUUAACGGCGAAAUUGGGAUACGGCGAUUUUGUCAAAUAUUACGAAAAAUUUAAUUAUACGGAUUAUUUAAUUAUAUAUAAUUGCGGUAAAAAUAAAACGCCGGCGCAUUUAAUAUAUUAUCGAAAAAAUUAUAUAUAUUUGGAAAAUAAAAAAACAGGAAAAAAAAUGUAUUUACCAAAUAUUUUCGGUUAAAGGUGGGAAACGUUUAUUUUUAUAAUAAAUAAAAAAGAAAUUUACGAAAAAGUUUGCCCAAAAAACCCCAAAAAAAUAACCCGGGAAAAUAAAUUCGAAAAAAAAGAAAUAUAAAAAUAUAAAUAAUUCCAAUAUUAAUUGUUUUUAUACCGUUUUAAUAACCGGAAUUAAAAAUACCCCGGUACCCAUUUUUUAUAUUUAUUUAUUUAAAUAAAAAAAUAUUUCGGCCGGAAAUUUUAAAUUCCGACGUAAAUUAAAAACGCCGUUUUAAAAAAAAAACCAAAAUUGUUUGGUUUUUAUCCGGUAUUUUAUUAAUUUAUUUAAAAUUAUCGGCGGGCGAAUAAACCGAUUCCGGAAAGUUAAUUAUAAACCGAUUUACUAAUUAAUAAUAGGGGAAUAUUUCCCGCGGCGCGGGCGCGGGUUAGCAAAAACCAGUUCCGUACGCAAAAUAUAAUAAUUUCCCCCCCCCCCCCGAAUUAAAUUUAAAAUCCAAAAACGGGUAAAAAAUAUAAAUAUAUUUAAAUAAUUAUAUAAAAAUUUUGCCUUUUUAACCCGCAAAAACUAAUAUAAUCCCGCCAAUAAUUUUAAAUAUUGGAAAUCCGCGCGCCGGCCGGCGCGCGAACCCAUUUAUUUUAAAUAUAAAAAAAACAAAAACGGUAUUAUAAUAUAAAUUGUAAUGGAAAAUAUAUAAAUAUAUAAAAAAACCCAAUAUAUUUAUUUGGAAUAAAAUACGCCCCGAACCAUUUAAAAUUUCAAUUAAAAUUGGAAAUUUUUAUAUAUAUUAUAUAUUUAUAUAUUUUGGAAAUUUUCGGUUAAUUCCAAUUAAAUCGCCAAAAAUAAUAAAACCGACCGAUUCAAAAUAUCCGGCGUUCCGGACCGCGAUUUGAAAAAUUUAGGCAAAUUAUAAAAUAAAAAAUUUAAAGGAAAAAUCCCCCAAUUAAUAAUUAUUUACCCAAAUUAUUUUAUAUAUAUUAUUAUUACGACCAGAUAAUU